rnacentral:lncRNA from 1 species
AGUCAUUUCAGAUUUACAAGGAAUUUUGGAUGGGGAGAAAGAGAUUAUCCUUGUUGAGUGGUGAUGGAUCCCGCCCCCCCCUCCUUACUAAUAUUGACCAUGUCAAAUCAGAUUUAGUUAUUCAGAAAUACAGUACAGGCCCUGCCUCUGCUCCUCUUCUACGGUUUCCCCAUGUUUUUUUUUUUUUUCUUAAUAUUUAUUUCUUAGUUGGACACAAAUAUCUUUAUACCAAGAUGCAGAGGUGGUUGAAUAGGAAUCCGUGCAAAAAGGCUCCAAAGUAGACAAUAACAAAACAUCCCAAUCGCCAGUGUCCAGUCUGUUCCCUGUGUUUCAGAAUACUCAGGGGAGUGAGAGCUCUUGAUCUCUGCCCAGGGCCUAAAGCUGACUUGUAUGGUCCACACCUUUAUAGCUUCCUUCUGGAGGCUUGUGGUAUUUUCUCUGUCCUAUCAGCAAGUCUUCGAUGAGCUCUGACACAAGACUCAUAGGUGUUUUGUCAGACAAACAGAAGAACUUUGAAUGUAAUUCUAGCCAUUUGUGCCCCAGAUAUUUCUGAUUCAGUGGUUUUCCUCCACGAACCUUUCAUCCAUUUCCUUUGCCUUCUUUUCCAAAUUAUGUCUUUUCAGCUUUCAGGUAAAAAUCCAGUUUCAAAAA